UACGAAGGGGGCUAGCGUUGCUCGGAAUCACUGGGCGUAAAGGGUGCGUAGGCGGGUCUUUAAGUCAGGGGUGAAAUCCUGGAGCUCAACUCCAGAACUGCCUUUGAUACUGAAGAUCUUGAGUUCGGGAGAGGUGAGUGGAACUGCGAGUGUAGAGGUGAAAUUCGUAGAUAUUCGCAAGAACACCAGUGGCGAAGGCGCUCACUGGCCCGGCAUUGACGCUGAAUAGCGAAAGCCAGGGGAGCAAACGGG
rnacentral:rRNA from 1 species